CGUAGGUGAACCUGCGGAGGGAUCAUUACUGAGUUUACGCUCUACAACCCUUUGUGAACAUACCUACAACUGUUGCUUCGGCGGGUAGGGUCUCCGCGACCCUCCCGGCCUCCCGCCUCCGGGCGGGUCGGCGCCCGCCGGAGGAUAACCAAACUCUGAUUUAACGACGUUUCUUCUGAGUGGUACAAGCAAAUAAUCAAAACUUUUAACAACGGAUCUCUUGGUUCUGGCAUCGAUGAAGAACGCAGCGAAAUGCGAUAAGUAAUGUGAAUUGCAGAAUUCAGUGAAUCAUCGAAUCUUUGAACGCACAUUGCGCCCGCCAGCAUUCUGGCGGGCAUGCCUGUUCGAGCGUCAUUUCAACCCUCAAGCUCUGCUUGGUGUUGGGGCCCUACAGCCGAUGUAGGCCCUCAAAGGUAGUGGCGGACCCUCCCGGAGCCUCCUUUGCGUAGUAACUUUACGUCUCGCACUGGGAUCCGGAGGGACUCUUGCCGUAAAACCCCCCAAUUUUCCAAAGGUUGACCUCGGAUCAGGUAGGAAUACCCGCUGAACUUAAGCAUAUCAAUAAGGCGGAGGAA
rnacentral:rRNA from 1 species